GGAUUAGAUACCCUGGUAGUCCACGCCGUAAACGAUGUCAACUAGUCGUUGGGUAUAUAUGAUAUUCAGUGACACAGCUAACGCGUUAAGUUGACCGCCUGGGGAGUACGGUCGCAAGACUAAAACUCAAAGGAAUUGACGGGGGCCCGCACAAGCGGUGGAGCAUGUGGUUUAAUUCGAUGCAACGCGAAGAACCUUACCAUCCCUUGACAUCCUUGGAAUUAAGCAGAGAUGCUUGAGUGCCUUUUGGAGCCAAGAGACAGGUGCUGCAUGGCUGUCGUCAGCUCGUGCC
rnacentral:rRNA from 1 species